UAGUCAGGAGCCGGUGGCUCUAUUUGUUGCCUUCGAGAGCUCGACGACAUGGGUGUCUUUUUAAUCGCAUAAAUGUAAAUUCCAGUCAUCGUAAGGGUGUACGAAAGGAAGUACAGAGUGUGGAACUGGAAAUUCAAAUCGAUGUACCAGCAUUCCGAAUAAGAUGUUGAAGAAAUCUGCGGUUAGAAGAGCCAACUGCAAGGCCGUAGCGCCAGAUUCGAAGAGGAUCACAGGUACCAGGGAGAAGAAGACGAAUUGUGUGAUGCAGUAGACAACCAAAAAAGUGAUAACAGGAGCGUUGUCCCAGUGGAAAGUUUCAAUCUGUAUCCUCUCUAAAAUCGUACUGGAAAAUCAAAUUAAAGAGGCAAUUGAGACGAAGCAUAAAUCGUUUCAAAACGUGUUAAACCGUGAAGGAAGGCUCGAUUGAUUUACCGGUGGAUGCAGGAUCCUUAUUCUCGUCGAUCCCUGCCCACACUAAGCAUCCAACUCCCA